UACGGGGGGAGCAAGCGUUGUUCGGAUUUACUGGGCGUAAAGGGCGCGUAGGCGGUCAGCACAAGUCAGUUGUGAAAUCUCCGGGCUUAACUCGGAAAGGUCAACUGAUACUGUGCGACUAGAGUGCGGAAGGGGCAACUGGAAUUCUCGGUGUAGCGGUGAAAUUCGUAGAUAUCGGGAGGAACACCGGUGGCGAAGGCGGCGACCUGGGUCGAGACUGACGCUGAGGCGCGAAAGCGUGGGGAGCGAACAGG
rnacentral:rRNA from 1 species